GUCAACAUGCUCCCUGGAUCUCUUCUACUCUUCCUGUCUUUCCUCCAUCGCCAACACAGACACUUCCUUUUUUAGGACACUAUGUGGGCUGUGUGCUUCUGUGCCCAGGCAAGGACAGCCUGCAGGGUCGCCAGGCCCACAGAGGGAUUCCGAGGACAUCUGCUGAUUCAGAGGACUGAAUGAGGGACUGGUGGACUUUGGAUACAGAGAAGAUGUCAAGAGAGAUCAAGAUUGGGCAGGCACUUCCAUCCCAUGCGUGGAAACCGAUACUCUUUCAAUACCUCUUGAACCCUGGGUCUCCCUUCUAGAGAAAAUGUCUGCUGCAAAGUUGGUUCUCUUCUCCUUCCCAGAUCUAACAAAGGGCCCAUAUGGACAGGAGUUUAUAAUGCUCCACAAAAUUUAGUAUUUCAGCAAUAGGAAAAUAGUUGGUUAAAAUCAGUGUACACAGCACCUGAACUUGUUUGUUUAUUUGUUCAAAACAUGUACAGAGGACAUCAUUGUGCCAGAUCCUGUGACAGUGGAGUGGGGACAGAAGUGAAUAAACAGAGCCUCGAUCCCUUUGCA
rnacentral:lncRNA from 1 species